CCUUCGAUAGCUCAGUCGGCAGAGCGGGGGACUGUAGUUGUUUAUGGCAAAAAUCCCUAGGUCACUGGUUUGAAUCCGGGUCGAAGGA